AGUGAACGCUGGCGGUAGGCCUAACACAUGCAAGUCGAACGGCAGCACAGUAAGAGCUUGCUCUUACGGGUGGCGAGUGGCGGACGGGUGAGGAAUACAUCGGAAUCUACUUUUUCGUGGGGGAUAACGGAGGGAAACUUACGCUAAUACCGCAUACGACCUACGGGUGAAAGCAGGGGAUCUUCGGACCUUGCGCGAUUGAAUGAGCCGAUGUCGGAUUAGCUAGUUGGCGGGGUAAAGGCCCACCAAGGCGACGAUCCGUAGCUGGUCUGAGAGGAUGAUCAGCCACACUGGAACUGAGACACGGUCCAGACUCCUACGGGAGGCAGCAGUGGGGAAUAUUGGACAAUGGGCGCAAGCCUGAUCCAGCCAUACCGCGUGAGUGAAGAAGGCCUUCGGGUUGUAAAGCCCUUUUGUUGGGAAAGAAAAGCAGCAGGUUAAUACCCCGCUGUUCUGACGGUACCCAAAGAAUAAGCACCGGCUAACUUCGUG
rnacentral:rRNA from 1 species